CCUACGGGAGGCAGCAGUGGGGAAUAUUGCGCAAUGGGCGAAAGCCUGACGCAGCGACGCCGCGUGAGGGAUGACGGUCUUCGGAUCGUAAAACUCUGUCAGCAGGGAAGAACGGUCACUGUGCUAAUCAGCAGUGAAUUGACGGUACCUGCAAAGGAAGCACCGGCUAACUCCGUGCCAGCAGCCGCGGUAAUACGGAGGGUGCGUGCGUUAAUCGGAUUUACUGGGCGUAAAGAGCGCGUAGGCGGUAUGUCAAGUCAAGUGUGAAAGCCCCGCGCUCAACGUGGGAACUGCCUUUGAAACUGGCAGACUGGAGUGUGUGAGAGGAUAGUGGAAUUCCAGGUGUAGGAGUGAAAUCCAUAGAUAUCUGGAGGAACAUCAGUGGCGAAGGCAACUAUCUGGCACAUAACUGACGCUGAGGAGCGAAAGCGUGGGUAGCAAACAGGAUUAGAUACCCUAGUAGUC
rnacentral:rRNA from 1 species